UCUAAAUUUUAAUCCUCUGGUGUGCAAAGUUGCUGGGAAACAUGCCCUAUAUGGUCUGUCCUAUCCUACAGUUCAUCGAGUCUGUCGCUACCUGAUCUGUACCUGCAGCCCGAUUUGUACCGCGCAUACUCGCGCAAGUGUAGGGUACCUGAUCCGUACCACACAUACGUAAAUGACAUAAUGCAUAUUUUUCUAUCUUCUUUUCAUAUGGAACGUAACGCUUGUCAGUCAAGUUUCAAUAUGCAAUCGAUGCCGUUUUAUUUUGCCUACAAAAGUCUGAUACUCCCCAUUCACUUUAAUGGGAGCUCCAACGUUUUGCACUCAACACGCGCAGUACAGGCUUACUUCCGGUACAUCACAAAUUCAGGUCAUACUGGCAUAGUUUAGUUAAAUAUGCAUGUCUAUGACAAAUACAUGGUCACGUGAGAUGGUUCGCUAUUUGCGGUAAAAUUUGAACACAGUCACGAGCUCCUGGGGAGCAUUAUUAACGGAUCAGACAAGUCCUUGCUGUUAGCUACCCAUAUACAACGACGUCGAAAAUGUUUUUCUCAUGUAUGGUUGUCAGAAGAGAAGUGAGACAAGUUACCAGGGAAUACGGGAGAGGUGGAAGAAAUAGCCCGUCUGCCGCGCGUGAAAGGAGCGGGACGCCAAAACAGGCAGGUGAGACCAGCCUCGUGAGUGUUAAUGAAACCCCGAGAUGCGGCGCGCCUCGAACCGUAAGCAGCCGGAGUCGGCGAGCGCUCGGGUGACAUCGCGGGGAAAACUCCGGAGACGCAUAUUCAGCGCUUACUUGGAAGCGCUCCUUUGUGAAGCAUUUGGGAGUUAUUUGAUUGCCACAGUGUUUGUCUAAAUGAGGAGACCCUGCUGCUGUGGAAGAAUAACAUUAACAGUUAAAUUGGAGCGAUGCGUCCACUCUGUCAGGGAGGCUUACUUUACCAUGUAUAAUAGACUCAAAGUUCCAGAUUCAAACGAACCAAAAAACUGCUUUUUGCUGUUAGGCUUUUUUUAUACCUGAAAAUGAAGCCUGGAUUCAAACAGCAUCUGACCUAAAGUUUGGCUUAAAAUACAGCGGUUUCUGACCUGGCUGAACUUUGCACUUAUAUCCAUGUCAAAAUUAAGCACAAGCGUGGGUCGAAAUCCAGAGCGAGUGAUGUACUAGGAACAGCAAAGUCGGCGAUGUGUGUAGCUUUGCCAUUCAGACAUGGCCAGCGCUGUCCGGCGAGCGAAGCGUCAGAUUGGGGCAGUUCCU